UACGGAGGGUGCAAACGUUGCUCGGAAUCAUUGGGCGUAAAGCGCACGUAGGCGGCCCAUCAAGUUGAAUGUGAAAGCCCUGGGCUCAACCCAGGAUGUGCAUCCAAAACUGAUGGGCUCGAGUUCCGGAGGGGAUCAGGGAAUUCCCGGUGUAGAGGUGAAAUUCGUAGAUAUCGGGAGGAACACCAGUGGCGAAGGCGCUGAUCUGGCCGGACACUGACGCUGAGGUGCGAAAGCGUGGGGAGCAAACAGG
rnacentral:misc_RNA from 1 species